rnacentral:lncRNA from 1 species
AAAUAAAAAAGUAAAAAGAAACAGAAAUCCAUGAAUGCAUUUUAACCUUAAUUUACUGACAGGCAACUAAAGAAGAAAAUGAUCUUGCCGUGAGCUAAGCAGAAUGUAAAGUUGUUUUUUUCUUUACCAUUUAAUCAGCAAAUGAAGAUGAAGACUAUUGAACCAAAACUCACACAUUAAUCAGGAAGAAAUAUAUUGAUUUAAAUGAAAUGUGAUAAAAUUUUUAGGUGGAAAUUUAGGGGGAGUACUAAAUUAUAUAUAAAUAUGUAUUUAUAUGUACAUAUAGUCAUGUAUUAUACAUCCUCCUGCACACCUGUUUAUUGUAAGACAACAAGGAAUGGACACGGAGAGGUAGACACAGAGACACAAAGACAUAGAGGCAGAGACAGGGGGAGAGCGCGUGCAGUUUCCAAGGAUAUAACUGUCCCUCUCUUCUCUGACCAUCCUUGCAUGCAUUGCCUCCGAGUAGUAUGAGAUGUGCAUCACUAAGCUUUUGAAAAGUUCAAACCAACUGCAUACAAAAUCUAAUAACUUUUGAAAAUCGGAAGCCUGCUACGUAAGCGUCACUAGUCUUCAGUUGGGCCUGGGGUUAGAAUUCAAAUAGACUUUCCUUUGAAAAGAAUUCCUUUGAAAGAAGCAAUGUUAACUCCCCCGUGAACUCAGGCAGAGUGUCUGGGGCUCUGUCAAAGAAGAUGACAGCUCACCUUGAGACACCCAGAUCUGACCUGGGCAAACAAAACAUGUCCUCAAAAUACAAGACUGACCCAAGACCCUAGCCUCCCAUCCUUGUUCCAAAGAGGCCCUCCUGUAUGACCAGUCUCCUGCUUCUCAGGCCCAUGGUAUCAUCUAAAACAAGUAGCCUCUCCUUCAACAUAAUGUGACCUACUUAGCUACAGAUCCAGACACACGAGGAACACCACACUUUAAAAGAUGUCGGGACUUCAGAAGUCUUCCCCAUGUCGAACAUCCUGCAAUGCUAUCUUUCUUCUUUUGUGUCAGAUGCUGAAUGUUGUGGAGAGAAAUUUUCAAGGUUGAGAAACCGGAAAGACAGCAGAAAUAAAUCCUAACAAAUCCAGAGCAGGGAUGAGAAGUCUACACUUGUUUUGUGAAUUUCGAUGCACAUAGUACCUGGGGAACAU